UUUUUCUGAUUCCAUAUAUAAGUGAUCUCAUAUGGUAUUUUUCUUUCUCUUUCUGGCUUACUUCACUUAGAAUGAAAUUCUCCAGGAACAUCCAUGUUGCUGCAAAUGGUGUUAAGUUGUCAUCUUUUAUGGCUGAAUAGUAUUCCAUUGUAUAAAUAUACCACCUCUUCUUUAUCCAG